rnacentral:rRNA from 1 species
GACGAACGCUGGCGGCGUGCCUAAUACAUGCAAGUAGAACGCUGAAGGAGGGAGCUUGCUUCUCCGGAUGAGUUGCGAACGGGUGAGUAACGCGUAGGUAACCUGCCUGGUAGCGGGGGAUAACUAUUGGAAACGAUAGCUAAUACCGCAUAAGAGUAGAUGUUGCAUGACAUUUGCUUAAAAGGUGCAAUUGCAUCACUACCAGAUGGACCUGCGUUGUAUUAGCUAGUUGGUGGGGUAACGGCUCACCAAGGCGACGAUACAUAGCCGACCUGAGAGGGUGAUCGGCCACACUGGGACUGAGACACGGCCCAGACUCCUACGGGAGGCAGCAGUAGGGAAUCUUCGGCAAUGGACGGAAGUCUGACCGAGCAACGCCGCGUGAGUGAAGAAGGUUUUCGGAUCGUAAAGCUCUGUUGUAAGAGAAGAACGAGUGUGAGAGUGGAAAGUUCACACUGUGACGGUAUCUUACCAGAAAGGGACGGCUAACUACGUGCCAGCAGCCGCGGUAAUACGUAGGUCCCGAGCGUUGUCCGGAUUUAUUGGGCGUAAAGCGAGCGCAGGCGGUUAGAUAAGUCUGAAGUUAAAGGCUGUGGCUUAACCAUAGUACGCUUUGGAAACUGUUUAACUUGAGUGCAAGAGGGGAGAGUGGAAUUCCAUGUGUAGCGGUGAAAUGCGUAGAUAUAUGGAGGAACACCGGUGGCGAAAGCGGCUCUCUGGCUUGUAACUGACGCUGAGGCUCGAAAGCGUGGGGAGCAAACAGG